GCCCCGUGUUUCCCUCUCAUGUGGGCCCGAUAGUCACGUGCCCUGCGCAGGCGGACCGUGACAUUUAUGAACGUGCCUGGCCAAAGCAUACAUUGUUUUACAACGGAUUUCUUGAAUAUAUCCUUAUGAAAUGUUGUAUUUUGCUAAAACCGCUAUCUCCUUUAAAUGAUGCUAAUCGCAUGAAUUCUUAUGUUUUAUGAAAAUUUUGUUUGAUUAAAAAUACUGCUUUGUUUUCCAAGCAUACAUAUUUUGCCAUGAUAAAUUGUGAGAUAAUACGCAUGUCAGCUUCUCAAACCCUGCAUAAACAUGGUUACCAUUAUGUC
rnacentral:lncRNA from 1 species